rnacentral:rRNA from 1 species
CCUACGGGUGGCAGCAGUGGGGAAUAUUGCACAAUGGGGGAAACCCUGAUGUAGCGACGCCGCGUGAGUGAAGAAGUAUUUCGGUAUGUAAAGCUCUAUCAGAAGGGAAGAAAAGGACGGUACCUGAUUAAGAAGCCCCGGCAAAUUACGGGCCAGCGGCCGCGUGAAUGCGUAGGGGGGAAGGGUUAUCCGGAUUUACGGGGGGUAAAGGGAGCGUAGACGGCAGCACAAGUCUGGAGUGAAAUGCGGGGGCUUAACCCCGGAACUGCUUUGGAAACUGGGCAGCUAGAGUGCAGGAGAGGUAAGUGGAAUUCCUAGUGUAGCGGUGAAAUGCGUAGAUAUUAGGAGGAACACCAGUGGCGAAGGCGGCUUACUGGACUGUAACUGACGUUGAGGCUCGAAAGCGUGGGGAGCAAACAGGAUUAGAUACCCCAGUAGUC